rnacentral:misc_RNA from 1 species
CAGAGCCUAAAAACUCUCAAACCCACUGUUAAUUAUACCUUUUUUGUUGCUUUGGCGGGCAGUCCCAGGGCGGGGCCUUGCCUGUAUUUUUUGCAGGUGUCCGCCGAAAGCACCCCUAAAAUUCUUUUUUUUAUGGCUGUCUGAGUUUUAAAAAAAAUAAGUCA